rnacentral:rRNA from 1 species
AGUGAAUAGAUACCCGGGUAGUCCUAGCCGUAAACGAUACUCGCUAGGUGUCGGCCAUGGUGCGACCGUUGUCGGUGCCGUAGGGAAAGCCGUGAAGCGAGCCACCUGGGAAGUACGGCCGCAAGGCUGAAACUUAAAGGAAUUGGCGGGGGAGCAUCACAACGGGUGGAGCUUGCGGUUUAAUUGGAUUCAACGCCGGAAAUCUUACCGGGACCGACAGCAACAUGAAGGCCAGGCUGAAGACUUUGCCGGAUUAGCUGAGAGGUGGUGCAUGGCCGUCGUCAGUUCGUACUGUGAAGCAUCCUGUUAAGUCAGGCAACGAGCGAGACCCACGCCCACAGUUGCCAGCGUACUCUCCGGAGUGACGGGUACACUGUGGGGACCGCCGCUGCUAAAGCGGAGGAAGGAGUGGGCAACGGUAGGUCAGUAUGCCCCGAAUAUCCCGGGCUACACGCGAGCUACAAUGGUUGGUACAAUGGGUAUCUACCCGAAAGGGAUGGAAAUCUCCUAAAGCCAAUCUUAGUUCGGAUUGAGGGCUGCAACUCGCCCUC